rnacentral:rRNA from 1 species
GCCAGCAUUCAGUUGGGCACUCUAAGGUGACUGCCGGCUAAAAGGUACGGAGGGAAGGUGGGGGAUGACGUCAAAUCAUCAUGCCCCUUAUGACCUGGGCUACACACGUGCUACAAUGGGCGGUACAAAGGGUCGCGAACCCGCGAGGGGGAGCCAAUCCCAAAAAGCCGCUCUCAGUUCGGAUUGCAGGCUGCAACUCGCCUGCAUGAAGCCGGAAUCGCUAGUAAUCGCGGAUCAGCAUGCCGCGGUGAAUACGUUCCCGGGCCUU